AGAGUUUGAUCAUGGCUCAGGACGAACGCUGGCGGCGUGGCUUAACACAUGCAAGUCGAACGAUGAAGCCCAGCUUGCUGGGUGGAUUAGUGGCGAACGGGUGAGUAACACGUGGGUGAUCUGCCCUGCACUCUGGGAUAAGCCUGGGAAACUGGGUCUAAUACCGGAUAGGACCUUCGGCCGCAUGGCUGGGGGUGGAAAGUUUUUCGGUGCAGGAUGAGCCCGCGGCCUAUCAGCUUGUUGGUGGGGUAAUGGCCUACCAAGGCGACGACGGGUAGCCGGCCUGAGAGGGCGACCGGCCACACUGGGACUGAGACACGGCCCAGACUCCUACGGGAGGCAGCAGUGGGGAAUAUUGCACAAUGGGCGCAAGCCUGAUGCAGCGACGCCGCGUGAGGGAUGACGGCCUUCGGGUUGUAAACCUCUUUCACCCAUGACGAAGCGCAAGUGACGGUAGUGGGAGAAGAAGCACCGGCCAACUACGUGCCAGCAGCCGCGGUAAUACGUAGGGUGCGAGCGUUGUCCGGAAUUACUGGGCGUAAAGAGCUCGUAGGCGGUUUGUCGCGUCGUCUGUGAAAACCCGCAGCUCAACUGCGGGCUUGCAGGCGAUACGGGCAGGCUCGAGUACUGCAGGGGAGACUGGAAUUCCUGGUGUAGCGGUGAAAUGCGCAGAUAUCAGGAGGAACACCGGUGGCGAAGGCGGGUCUCUGGGCAGUAACUGACGCUGAGGAGCGAAAGCGUGGGUAGCGAACAGGAUUAGAUACCCUGGUAGUCCACGCCGUAAACGGUGGGCGCUAGGUGUGGGUUUCCUUCCACGGGAUCCGUGCCGUAGCCAACGCAUUAAGCGCCCCGCCUGGGGAGUACGGCCGCAAGGCUAAAACUCAAAGGAAUUGACGG
rnacentral:rRNA from 1 species